AUGUUUGGUUGCCAAGUGGGCACCUUACCUAUGAAAUACCUUGGGGUCCCAGUAACAUACUCCGCUCUUAAAAAUGCGGAUUUAGAUUUCCUCGAUGGUAAACUGAUUAAAGAGCUUGAUGCCUGGGUGGCCUACGCGGCUUCUUCCGGGGCUAGACUCACUUUAUUGAGUUCCAACCUUGAUGGGAUUCCAUCUUAUCUCAUGUCGAUGUUUCUUUUCAAUAAAACCUUUAUUGAAAAAAUGGAUAAAUAUCGUAGACGAUUCUUUUGGAGGAGGAAGAACAAGAAACAUGGAUAUCAUAUGGUUAAAUGGGCGAGAGUUUGUCGAUCUAAGAAAAUUGGGGGGCUGGGUAUUAAGGAUCUUCAUAAACAGAAUGUUGCCUUACUUGUUAAAUGGUGGUGGAAGCUCGAAACAAGCGAUGGCUUGUGGCAGCGUAUAGUCAAAGCUAGAUACUUUAAUAACAAGACAAUAGCCAAUAUACGAGGUCGUGUUUCUGAUUCCCCUUGCUGGAAAGCUAUCAUGAAAGUCAAGGACUCAUAUAUGGCUGGUAGGAAAGUCAUCAUCAAUAGUGGUGAUCUGACUAGGGUCUGGCAUGAUCUGUGGAUAGAAAACACCAUUUUGAAAGAUCGAUUCCCUGAUCUGUUCAAUAUUUGCCAUGAUCAGGAAAGUACUCUUGCAUCCUGGGUAACGAAGGGCUAUGAUUUAGACUUCAGACGCAGAUUGACAGGUGUGUUGGGCGAGCAGUGGACUUGGAUGGUCAUGGAGGCUAAAAAGCUCUCGCUGAAUAAUGCCCCAGAUACUAUUUCAUGGGCUUUUAGUAGUAAAGGGAAAUUUACGACUAAAUCGGUGUAUGAAUGGCUGGAAAGAAACCUGGCUGGUCCCAAUUAUAAUUGGGUUUGGAAAGCCCCUGUUCCGUUGAAGAUCAAAAUCUUCUUAUGGCAGUUAUUUCAGAAUGCUGUGUUAACGCGAGACAAUAUGCGCAAUCGGAAGUGGCCUGGGAAUCCUAUGUGUUCCUUUUGUACAAAUAUAGAGACUGCGAACCACUUAUUUUUUACCUGCCCGCUUGCUCGCACAGUUUGGGGCGUGCUGGGAAUGACAGUUGGGGUUUCUUGUUGUCCCCGAUCUCUUUGGCAAAGCUUUGCCUGGUUUUAUAGGUUCUUUCCAGGAGGGGAUCAAUUCUAUAUGAUGAUCACUGCUGCCAUAUGUUGGGAGAUUUGGUGUCUCCGCAAUAAAGUUACCUUUGGCAAUUAUGUAGCUCGUACUCCACUGGAGGCUGUUUUCACUGCCUGCUCGUUUAUGUUGUAUUGGGCAGGUUUGCUCAAAGCUGAAGACAAGGCGAAAUUCCAAGCUGGCGUGAAGAGGCUGGGGCACGUGGCUGCUGCGCUGGCGGACAGACCCUUCUCUCAAGACAGGCUUCUCUUGGGCGACAGGGAUGGGAUCCAGAUUGGUUAG
rnacentral:rRNA from 1 species